AAAGGCUUAGGUUCAAUAAGACCAAAGGCCUUCAAAGCCUUAAGCAGAUGUUAAACCGUCUAGCCUUUG
rnacentral:tRNA from 1 species